rnacentral:lncRNA from 1 species
GUAACUUCACUUACCUACUCUAACCUUAAUAUUUGACUAUUGAUGGGAGUAGUAGUUUUGAUUGAAGGAGUUAAUUUGGUAAUUUUGACAGACAAGCCGCCGUUAAUGGACCUACAAUACUUUUUGGACUUCUCUGGGCCUAGAACGUGGGCUCCCAUUCAUAACGACCUUCCGUUUGGCGCGGCGCCAAAUAUGGCUUCUGCGUAUCCAGCUCUUCAUAUCAACUUCAUGGGUCCCAAACUAUACGUUAAUACCACUCACGUACGUAUAUAUUUUACAUCCCUAGUUCUUGCUUGCAUUUUUUUGUAGUUCUUUCACAAAGUCACUUACAUUGUUAACUAAUUAUAGGUGACCACGGAGAAGAACCCAGUAACAGGAUUGCGAUUGUUCCUCGAAGGCAAGAAAUGCAAUAGGUAAAAAGUCAACCAAAGCAAAUUAACUUAAACUUGACAUUUGUUUUUAGAAAAUUACUGUGAUUAUUAAGCAAAGAAGGGACUGGCUAGAAUUUCUUGGUUAUCAAGAAUCAAGUCUAGAACUAGAGCUAAACUUGAAGAUAAUAUGGCUGGAAGCCAAACAUAAACUAGGCAGAGCCGCAGAGAAGGAACUAAUGCAACAGUUGUCUAGAUGAAGAAGAUAAUAUAUAUAUAUAUGGCUUGAAGUCUAGAAACUUUUGGUUAUCAAAAAGAAAAAAAAACUAGGUUUGAUGAUAAUUUGCGUAACGAUGCGAUUUGUAAUUAAAUAUCUCUUCAUGUGCGUAGCUAUAUAUCGAUAUAAUAUAGUAAUGUGUUAUGUUCAUCAGGCUGGCUAUACACUUGCAACACCUAGAAAAUACGAGGACAACUGUUGGUGAAAAGAUCACCGACAAUCAUAGAUGGAGAGGCUCCGACGAAAUAUCUGAUAGCAAUCGUUACUUCGAACCAUUAAACGGUAAGAAAUUCUCACACGUGUGUACAGCUCCAGUGAAGUAUGACCCAAACUGGACCACAACAACAACAACAAGCAAACACUCAAGCAACGUCGCUUACAUAGUCACCGGAGCUCAGCUAGAAGUGCAGAAACACGGCUCAAAAUCCGUUCUCCAUCUCCGUCUCCGUUUCACCGGAGUCUCUGAUCACUACGUCGUUCAGAAAGAUUGGGUCCAUGGACCAGGAACUUCCCAAAGAUCUGGAAUCUUCUCUUCCAUGAGCUUACCGUUGACUAGUGGGAGUGUUCAUCAUAAUAUGGUCACUAACAAAGACAAAAACGAGGUCGUUUUGGACUCUGGUGUCUACCCAAGAGGACCUCCUGUGCCGGCGAAUAACAAGAUCGUGAAAUUCGUGGAUCUUUCGCAGUUAUGUCGAGGACCUCAAAACAGUCCUGGUCAUUGGUUAGUCACGGGUGUUAGGCUUUAUUUGGAUAAAGGGAAACUUUGCUUGCAUGUCAAGUUUGCUCUGCUACAUCACCAACGCCUUCUUGGCGCAAGACAAGUCAUCCGAUCUCGAUACCGACCUCCUCCGUCACCAUCUCUACGAUCUCGGCGACCAACUGUUCACAGGCUCUUGUCUUCUCUCUACUCGCCGGCCUAAUAAGGUCAGCACAAUUUUAAGUUGUCGAUAAAGUCAGCACAACACAUUCUUUUGUUGUGUUCAUUAUUGGAGUUUGGUAUUGCAGUUUCCAGAGGCGUUCAAUGUCUUUGACGACAAAGAAACGGUCGCUUUCAAUAAUUUCUCGAUGAACUCCAAAGAUGUAAGUAAGUUUCACAGAAGCUAAACAACAUAUUGUAUGAUGAACAUUUUCAUCACUAGAAAAAGCCAUUUACAUUUUCAGGGGAUAACGGUUAUAUGCGCCAAAAGAGGAGGCGACGGGAGAGCAAAAAGCCAUAGCGAAUGGCUAAUAACAGUUCCCGAAAAGCCUGACGCCAUCAACUUCAACUUUAUUCCGAUCACAUCACUGCUCAAAGACGUCCCUGGCUCUGGUCUUUUAGCUCAUGCCAUGUCUCUCUACCUUAGAUGUAACUUCACUUACCUACUCUAACCUUAAUAUUUGACUAUUGAUGGGAGUAGUAGUUUUGAUUGAAGGAGUUAAUUUGGUAAUUUUGACAGACAAGCCGCCGUUAAUGGACCUACAAUACUUUUUGGACUUCUCUGGGCCUAGAACGUGGGCUCCCAUUCAUAACGACCUUCCGUUUGGCGCGGCGCCAAAUAUGGCUUCUGCGUAUCCAGCUCUUCAUAUCAACUUCAUGGGUCCCAAACUAUACGUUAAUACCACUCAC